rnacentral:sRNA from 1 species
AUUUUGUAUCAGGCUGAUGACUGGUUUCUCCUCUCCUGGUCUGAAUUUCCCUUCUUUGACCUCCUGCCCCACAUCCCUGGGUCCCUAUGUUUCACUGCCACAUGGCUCUGUGUGGGUCCCUGUCUUUGUGUCCUCCUGUCACUGUGGCUCCUGGACCCUGCCCUCCUUGUCGCCUGUGCCCUGUGUCUGGCCACGCCCCGCAGUGGAUGGCAAGUGGCAGGCCUGGGCGUCAUGGGGCAGUUGCAGCGUCACGUGUGGGGCUGGCAGCCAGCGACGGGAGCGUGUCUGCUCUGGGCCCUUCUUCGGGGGAGCAGCCUGCCAGGGCCCCCAGGAUGAGUACCGGCAGUGCGGCACCCAGCGGUGUCCCGGUGAGGCCCCUUCCACCUGGACUGGGCUCUGGGGAGGGCUGAUGGCGAUCGGGCGGGCUCGGGCUCAGCUGUCACCCACGUGGUGUGUUGGGGGCUCCCGUCCUGUCCUCAUAAUGAUGCCUGCUCCAGGCGCCUUGCACCUUCCAGAGCCAGCUGCCGGCUCUCAGUACCCCUUCCUGAACCCCUGUCCCGGGCCCCUUGGCAGAGCCCCAUGAGAUCUGUGAUGAGGACAACUUUGGUGCUGUGAUCUGGAAGGAGACCCCAGCGGGAGAGGUGGCUGCCGUCCGGUGUCCCCGCAACGCCACAGGACUCAUCCUGCGACGGUGUGAGCUGGACGAGGAAGGCAUCGCCUACUGGGAGCCCCCCACCUACAUCCGCUGUGUUUCCAUUGACUACAGAAACAUCCAGAUGAUGACCCGGGAGCACCUGGCCAAGGCUCAGCGAGGGCUGCCUGGGGAGGGGGUCUCGGAGGUCAUCCAGACACUGGUGGAGAUCUCUCAGGACGGGACCAGCUACAGUGGGGACCUGCUGUCCACCAUCGAUGUCCUGAGGAACAUGACAGAGAUUUUCCGGAGAGCCUACUACAGCCCCACCCCUGGGGACGUACAGAACUUUGUCCAGAUCCUUAGCAACCUGUUGGCAGAGGAGAAUCGGGACAAGUGGGAGGAGGCCCAGCUGGCGGGCCCCAACGCCAAGGAGCUGUUCCGGCUGGUGGAGGACUUUGUGGACGUCAUCGGCUUCCGCAUGAAGGACCUGAGGGACGCAUACCAGGUGACAGACAACCUGGUCCUCAGCAUCCAUAAGCUCCCAGCCAGCGGAGCCACUGACAUCAGCUUCCCCAUGAAGGGCUGGCGGGCCACGGGUGACUGGGCCAAGGUGCCGGAGGACAGGGUCACUGUGUCCAAGAGUGUCUUCUCCACGGGGCUGGCAGAGGCCGAUGAAGCAUCCGUGUUUGUGGUGGGCACCGUGCUCUACAGGAACCUGGGCAGCUUCCUGGCCCUGCAGAGGAACACGACCGUCCUGAAUUCCAAGGUGAUCUCCGUGACUGUGAAACCCCCGCCUCGCUCCCUGCGCACACCCUUGGAGAUCGAGUUUGCCCACAUGUAUAAUGGCACCACCAACCAGACCUGUAUCCUGUGGGAUGAGACAGAUGUACCCUCCUCCUCCGCCCCCCCGCAGCUCGGGCCCUGGUCGUGGCGCGGCUGCCGCACGGUGCCCCUCGACGCCCUCCGGACGCGCUGCCUCUGUGACCGGCUCUCCACCUUCGCCAUCUUAGCCCAGCUCAGCGCCGACGCGAACAUGGAGAAGGCGACUCUGCCGUCGGUGACGCUCAUCGUGGGCUGUGGCGUGUCCUCUCUCACCCUGCUCAUGCUGGUCAUCAUCUACGUGUCCGUGUGGAGGUACAUUCGCUCAGAGCGUUCUGUCAUCCUCAUCAACUUCUGCCUGUCCAUCAUCUCCUCCAAUGCCCUCAUCCUCAUCGGGCAGACCCAGACCCGCAACAAGGUGGUGUGCACGCUGGUGGCCGCCUUCCUGCACUUCUUCUUCCUGUCCUCCUUCUGCUGGGUGCUCACCGAGGCCUGGCAGUCCUACAUGGCCGUGACGGGCCACCUCCGGAACCGCCUCAUCCGCAAGCGCUUCCUCUGCCUGGGCUGGGGGCUCCCUGCACUGGUUGUGGCCAUUUCCGUGGGAUUCACCAAGGCCAAAGGGUACAGCACCAUGAACUAGUGAACAUGGUCAUUGGGAUCCUGGUGUUCAACAAGCUCGUGUCCAAAGACGGCAUCACGGACAAGAAGCUGAAGGAGCGGGCAGGGGCCUCCCUGUGGAGCUCCUGCGUGGUGCUGCCGCUGCUGGCGCUGACCUGGAUGUCGGCUGUGCUCGCCGUCACCGACCGCCGCUCCGCCCUCUUCCAGAUCCUCUUCGCUGUCUUCGACUCGCUGGAGGGCUUCGUCAUCGUCAUGGUGCACUGUAUCCUCCGUAGAGAGGUCCAGGACGCUGUGAAAUGCCGUGUGGUUGACCGGCAGGAGGAGGGCAACGGGGACUCAGGGGGCUCCUUCCAGAACGGCCACGCCCAGCUCAUGACCGACUUCGAGAAGGACGUGGAUCUGGCCUGUAGAUCAGGUGAGCGCCCGACAGGUGAGAGGACAGUGCCAGCCCGGCCCCCUGCAAGGCCCCACUCCACGCCUCCGCCUGUGCCUCCCCCACAUCACCCAUCCCUGUCCAUUCCUGCUGCCCCCACCCACACCCAGCCACACCGUCAGGCCCACCCGGACCCAGGGGACCUGCCCUGGGGGCCCAGCCUUCCACCCCCGCCCACUUCCUGAGGCCGAAGGAGGGUCCAUGGGGCAUGAUCAGAAGCUUCCAGAACACUGCCCUGGCACUCCUGCUGGGCAGGUGCCUGUGGAGCCCCUGGCUGCGUCCCCUGCCCACCUGACAUCUCUUCCUCUGUCGUGGCCCCAGCGAGGAGCACAGCCCCACCCUAGUGCCGCUCCCCCCACCUGCCUCCUGCCCACCGCCCUCUAGCACCUGUGUUCUGUGCCACCUUCAUUUCCUCAUUGCCAGUCCCAGCAGGGGCAGAAGUGAGUGGGGCUUUCAGGCUAGGGGGACAACGGGGAGCAAGAGGAAGGCGGGGAGAAGGACCCACCAUGGAGCCCCCGGCCAGUGCUGAGCUUCCUGGAACCAAGUGCAAAAAACGAACGACUGCCCAAUAAAGGAAGCUCCGCCGCCC